UGCAACGCGAAGACCUUACCUGGGCUUGACAUCCCGAGAAUCCCUGGAACAGGGGAGUGCCUUUCGGGGAACUCGGAGACAGGUGCUGCAUGGCUGUCGUCAGCUCGUGUCGUGAGAUGUUGGGUUAAGUCCCGCAACGAGCGCAACCCUUGUCUUUAAUUGCCAGCAUUCAGUUGGGCACUUUAAAGAGACUGCCGGUGUUAAGCCGGAGGAGGUGGGGAUGACGUCAAGUCCUCAUGGCCUUUAUGCCCAGGGCUGCACACGUGCUACAAUGGGUGGUACAAAGAGAUGCCAACUCGCGAGAGCGCGCCAAUCUCAGAAAGCCAUCCUCAGUUCGGAUUGGAGUCUGCAACUCGACUCCAUGAAGUUGGAAUCGCUAGUAAUCGCGGAUCAGCACGCCGCGGUGAAUACGUUCCCGGGCCUU
rnacentral:rRNA from 1 species